rnacentral:rRNA from 1 species
AACGAACGCUGGCGGCAGGCUUAGCACAUGCAAGUCGAACGCCCCGCAAGGGGAGUGGCAGACGGGUGAGUAACGCGUGGGAAUCUACCGUGCCCUGCGGAAUAGCUCCGGGAAACUGGAAUUAAUACCACAUACGCCUUACGGGGGAAAGAUUCAUCGGGGUAUGAUGAGCCCGCGUUGGAUUAGCCAGUUGGUGGGGU